GUGGGGAAUAUUGCACAAUGGGGGAAACCCUGAUGCAGCGACGCCGCGUGGAGGAAGAAGGUCUUCGGAUUGUAAACUCCUGUUGUUGAGGAAGAUAAUGACGGUACUCAACAAGGAAGUGACGGCUAACUACGUGCCAGCAGCCGCGGUAAAACGUAGGUCACAAGCGUUGUCCGGAAUUACUGGGUGUAAAGGGAGCGCAGGCGGGAGAACAAGUUGGAAGUGAAAUCCAUGGGCUCAACCCAUGAACUGCUUUCAAAACUGUUUUUCUUGAGUAGUGCAGAGGUAGGCGGAAUUCCCGGUGUAGCGGUGGAAUGCGUAGAUAUCGGGAGGAACACCAGUGGCGAAGGCGGCCUACUGGGCACCAACUGACGCUGAGGCUCGAAAGUGUGGGUAGCAA
rnacentral:rRNA from 1 species